rnacentral:rRNA from 1 species
AAUUUCUUUCAUUCGAUUAAUAUCAUUAUUACCACCACUAAUGACACAAACCACUGUUUUACCUUUAAUAUGAUCUUUAUAGUUUUCAAGCGCACUUACACUUAAUGCGCCAGCAGGUUCUG